rnacentral:rRNA from 1 species
GACGAACGCUGGCGGCGUGCUUAACACAUGCAAGUCGAGCGGUAAGGCCCUUUCGGGGGUACACGAGCGGCGAACGGGUGAGUAACACGUGGGUGACCUGCCCUCAGCUCUGGGAUAAGCCUGGGAAACCGGGUCUAAUACUGGAUAUGACUCCAUGACGCAUGUUGUGGGGUGGAAAGCCUUGUGCGGCUGAGGAUGGGCCCGCGGCCUAUCAGCUUGUUGGUGGGGUGAGGCCUACCAAGGCGACGACGGGUAGCCGGCCUGAGAGGGCGACCGGCCACACUGGGACUGAGACACGGCCCAGACUCCUACGGGAGGCAGCAGUGGGGAAUCUUGCGCAAUGGGCGAAAGCCUGACGCAGCGACGCCGCGUGAGGGAUGACGGCCUGGUGU